UUUUUACUUAUUAUUUGUUAGGCUUUGAACUAUAUAGUGCAUGUUAAGUUUUGGGCCACUUUUUACUUAUUAUUUGUUAGGCUUUGAACUAUAUAGUGCAUGUUAAGUUUUGGGCCACUUUUUACUUAUUAUUUGUUAGGCUUUGAACUAUAUAGUGCAUGUUAAGUUUUGGGCCACUUUUUACUUAUUAUUUGUUAGGCUUUGAACUAUAUAGUGCAUGUUAAGUUUUGGGCCACUUUUUACUUAUUAUUUGUUAGGCUUUGAACUAUAUAGUGCAUGUUAAGUUUUGGGCCACUUUUUACUUGUUAAAGUGUGAAACAUCUAUUGGUUGAUAAGCUUUGAAUUAGUUUAUAUUUUUUAAGGUUUAAAUUAGUUUCUAUUUAUUAAUCUUUGAACUAACUACUCUUUCUUAUGUUUUAAGCACAUACACGAAGGCGCAUACACGGAGGUGGAAGGGAAGAGAGAAAGUGGUGGAGGAAAUAAGACAAAGAGAAAAAGGAUCAGGGAAUUUUUGGAUAGGUGAGAAUCCGGUGCAUUCCCGGGCAGUUGAACCCGACGUGAAUCGAACACGCAACCUUCUGAUCUGGAGUCAGACGCGCUACCAUUGCGCCACGGAUCCCCUGAUGGAGAUCUCCGAAAAUUUUAAAAAUAUAGAUCCAAAACACUACUCUCUGGAAUCUCGCGACACGCGAAUGACAUCGGAAUCUCGUCGGAAUGGGUCGAUGGUCCCCAUCGCUGACUAGAUGCUGCUCAUCGUCCAGCUUCCCAUCGCCUUGGCCUCUUCGUCGCACCCGGUGAUCGAUCACUUUUCAGUCCCUGUGCUUCUGCUUCUGCCCCUGCACCUUGUGGUGUGCGUACAUUGUGCACUCGUUGGAUGUCUCUCGCUAUUCGCGUUUAUGUCGCUGCUCUGCAUGCGCUCUGGGAGUGCACUUGGUGAUAUGAGGAUUUCCUCUACGUCGAUUGGCAGCUGACGAGUAACGCCUAUACUUGCGAGAAACGUUGAUGUCAACAAAUGUUUGAUGACCUCGGAAAAUGCUAAGAAGACUCAGGCAUGAUUAGGUGAUGGAUUCAAGUUUGGUCAUGGACGUGGCAACUGGCGCGGGCGUGGUCGCGGGCUUGCAGGUGGCGGAGGUGGUGGUGGCGGAGGUGGUGGUGGUGGUGGAAGCAAUGGCGGCGGCGGCGGUGGUGGUGGAGGAGGGGGCGGAGGCUAAGAAACGCAGAAUGUUCUCAUGCAGUUCUCCAGUAAAGGCCAUUCUCUCAUAGCGAAUUGUAUCAUUUUUAGCUCGUACUCGUACGCGUUCACCUCGGUGGUGAACUUCAUGAUCUAGAAUGUUCAUUUUAAUUGAUAAGGACGAAUCCGUCUACCGGUUACUCUUGCUAACUUGUUGAUGUCCGUUGUAAUAUUACGUUCGUGAUUUAGUUUUGAUUGGUGUCGAUGAAUUCUAAACUGUAUAGUAUGUGUGUUAUUCUUCGCUUUGGCAGCUUUGGAGUGGAAUUAAUAUUGUGAAAAGAAGUUAAGCAUGAACGGUUAUGGCACAGCAGGAGCUUUGAUUACGCUUCCCACUUUCUGAAUUGAUUUGGCAUGAAAGACCUGGUGAGCACAAUAAAGAGGGCGUUCCUUCAACUGCAAGGGAGUCAUGGGCUCCUUCACUUGGAACAACAACACUGGUCAAGGAUCCCACUCAACUCUAACUUUCCAUCAACAACGCUUUCAACUAGGACUUGAAGCUUAAAUUUUACGUCAUAAAACUAAAGCAUUCAUAAUGAGAGGAAAAAUAUGGACCUAAAGCACGUCAAAACCGUGAUUAUUACAGUUUGUAGUUAGUUGAGAAUUGUGCAUAUGAUUUGCCAUGGAGGAUAAGAUACAAAUAGUUUCACAAAAGUUAAUUAAAUUCCAAACAGUAUGACAAAUAAAGAACAUAAAAACUUGUAAAAAAUAAAUAUUCUAAUGUUCAGUACUAGAUCAAUCGAGUUUAGACAUUCAGUUAUCUUAUCCUUAGACACCAGAUGUCAACGACACUGGAUGCCUUCCAUCAUAGCUUUGCUUCUUCGUAAGUCAUCGAGAUAGCCACGUGUCGGCCGUAGUUACCUUUCAAUGCCCUUUCUGCUUCCAGCUGCUCGGGAAUUCCAAGUUCAGCGCUGCAUUUUCUCUGUUGCCGUUCACGUAGGAGAUCGAGACCAGGUGAUGGCUUUCCAGAUUGGCUCAUUGCAGGGUAAGAUCAGAUUUGCAGAUGCCAUUCCAAUGUUGGAAACUCCUCGUGAAGUAUCUUUUCACAGUUCUGGCAACCCUUCGCGAGCAGUAAAACUUUCUAUUUAGAACUA